rnacentral:rRNA from 1 species
GAUGAACGCCAGCGGGAGGCCUAACACAUGCAAGCCGAGCGGUAUUUGUUCUUCGGAGCAGAGAGAGCGGCGCACGGGUGCGGAACACGUGUGCAACCUGCCUUUAUCUGGGGGAUAGCCUUUCGAAAGGAAGAUUAAUACCCCAUAAUAUAUUGAGUGGCAUCAUUUGAUAUUGAAAACUCCGGUGGAUAGAGAUGGGCACGCGCAAGAUUAGAUAGUUGGUGAGGUAACGGCUCACCAAGUCAAUGAUCUUUAGGGGGCCUGGGAGGGUGAUCCCCCACACUGGUACUGCGGCACGGACCAGACUGCUACGGAAGGCAGCAGUAAGGAAUAUUAGGCGAUGGGGUAGGGCCUGAUCCAGCCAUCCCGCGUGAAGUACGACGGCCCUAGGGGUUGUAAGCUUCUAUUGAAUAGGGAUAAUCCUACUCUCGUGAGAGUAGCUGAAGGUACUACACGAAUAAGCACCGGCUAACUCCGUG